rnacentral:tRNA from 1 species
GCCGGUGUAGCUCAGUGGUAGAGCGCACGACUCAUAAUCGUGAUGUCCGGAGUUCAACUCUCCGCACCGGCA